rnacentral:tRNA from 6 species
AAACUUAGGAUAACACCCCCUUUAAACCGAAG